AAGCUCGAAGCCUCGCUAUCAGUGUCGGGACGCUUCCUUUUCCCGCUGGCCGACGUGGUCGAGGAGCGACUUCCUGACAUGCUUGUCGACGGUAGACUCUGGGAAAAGCGUGUCCUGCGGACAAACGUGGAGACAUGAAUUGCUAUGACAGGAAAAGUUGUGCUGAUACAGAUUCUAAGGUCCAAAUGAUAAAUGGUGAAAUCGGUGACUGGCGAGCGCCUUCCAGCUGAACCCGACAGGCAUAGUAGAAGAGUUUAAUUUGAAGUUCAUGCUGGCUUCGCAUCUCCAUCAAGGCGUCGGCCCGUUUGGGUUCAUAAUCUUCCUGGCGGGCGUUUUCCAACUCCACCAUGCGAGACUCGUGCCGGCGUUUGACCUCGCGCAACUCCUACGUGAGACCUUCUUUUGAAUCUCCAGCUCCUCUUUGAGGGUAUUAAUGCGACUCUCUCCUUCCACCCUCCUGAGAGCCUCAUCCAUCAUCCCCUUUCGGCCAUUGGCCAACCUGGUCUCGAGCUAAACGUGGCAACAACUUUAACACAAUCAUCACGGUAAUUUAAUCGUGAUUUGAUUCACCUCGGCAACCUGCGUCGCCAGAUCUCGGUUUUCUGUCUCAAGGCGACGCUUUCCUUCUAACGCUCUCAUCAAAGACGCGCCCUUGGAGUUCAGCAAGGCUUUAAGGCGCCGCUUUUCUCCUAACGCUGUCGACAAAGACCCGACCCUGGAGUUCACCAAGGCUUCAAGGCGACGGUUUUUUCCUAACGCUGUCGCCAAAGACGCGUUCUUGGAGUUCAGCGAGGCUUCCAAAUCUUUGAGCCUCUGCAGCGCUCCUGCCAGAUCGGAUUCUUUCUUCGUGUUCCUGAGAUGACAGAUGUACACAUAAAUAUGAACUAAGAUAAGUAUAAAGUGUAGCAGUGAUAAAGUAUGUAAACAGUGCAGGAAACAAAAACAGUAUUAAACCCUCGACGCAGUCAAAUGUGCUAUUUAUAUUGAUGUGCGACUAUGGGAUGGUUAACUGAAAGUCCAAUUGAGCUGCAAUUAGUCACGAGGAGGAUUUUCCUUGGGGUGUGGCCCCAGCAGCAAAGCAAUUAUGUCAGCACUAAUAUCCAGUAUCCAUUUUGUUGUUGGCAUAUUUUUGAUAAAAUGGCCGGGCCUCACCUUUCUUUCAGCUCGUCGAAUUCCAUCCUCAGCUUGGUCAACUCCGGCUGCAGACGUGCACGCUCUGUGGCCUCCGAGUCCAGAGACGCACGGGCUUUCGCCAGCUCCGUCUCGUAAACGGCCUUCAGGCCAGUCAGCUGCCGGGACACCUCUGUUUCGGAUUCAGCGAUGCGCAAACGCAAGCCGGCGUUCUCCACUUCCCGGGAACGGGCGUUGUCGAUGUAAACGACCAGAAGGUCGUUGAGCUUGCGGAGAUCUUCCAUUUCCUGGAGACGUGUGAUGCGGUUGGGGGAGAGGGCAAUGUUUGCAUCUUGAGGAGUGUUUUCUGGGGUCGCCAUCUCUCGAGCUUGCUUCUGCUGUUCCAGGAAAGACUCAGUAUCAUGCAUUACACCAAUGCCUGAUUGCACUUAUCAAAGAAACGUCAUAGAGGUUUCUUCAAAGUCCAAAGGUUCCUUUGUAAAUACACAUAAAAAAAAAACCCUCACUCUUUGCAAUGGUUCAAAGAAACUUUGCAACGGAUGGAUCCUAAGGGCGGCUUGGUGGGGCACUGGGUAGCACGUCCGCCUCACAGUUAGGUGGGUGCAAGUUCGAUUCCACCUCUGGCCCUCCCUGUGUGGAGUUUGCAUGUUCUCCACGGGCCCGCGUGGGUUUUCUCCGGGCACUCCGGUUUCCUCCCACAUCCCCAAAACAUGCUUGGUAGGCCGAUUGAAGACUCCAAAUUGUCCCUAGGUGUGAGUGCGAGUGCAAAUGGUUGUUUGUCUCUGUGUGCCCUGCGAUUGGCUGGCAUCCGGUUCAGGGUGUCCGCCGCCCACUGCCCGAUGACGGCUGGGAUAGGUUCCAGCACGGCUGCGACCCCCGUAGGGCAGCAAACGAGCAGGUGAUCGAGCAAGCGUCUAAUACGAGAGCAUUGCGUUCGUAUGGAGCGUGUUUGAAGUGAACAGCAGAGAUGAAAGGAACAAGGCAAAGUGUUGUGAAAUAAAAUAUUACCUGUAAUACGCAUUUUGUUACUUGCUGAUUGAAACUGCUAAUUAAACUGUGAAUUGAAACUAAUAGGAAGAAAACAACUCUCGCUCUUUAUAUAGCUGACGUGUCUUGCGCAUCCGUUCUGCGCAUCUGUAAUGGCGGCCUCCGUAUGACGUCCGGUCCGCGAUGGAGAUUAAAAAACAAACAAUAUUUGACAAUAAUACACCAUCAAGGAUUGCACCAUCGCAUCAAACGAUGUGUCGUCAAUUAUGAAUUUUACUGACCAAGUGUGUUGGGCAGGAUGGCUGAAUGCGAUGCGCGAUUGACAACAAACAAGAAGAAAGGUGAUUUCAAGUUUUAUUUCGGGGGAGAUUUGUCAUGUCUCGUCCCCAGUUUUGCUAUGUUUCUGUUCGCGUCGCCCCUCUCUUCCUGGGUCACCUCAAUCGAUGUAACGUGUUUUGUAUUUAAGUCCUGUCUGCCCCUCGAUCACCGUCGGAUCAUUGCAUGUGUUACUGUCAUGAUGUGGUUUCUGUUCCUGUCUUUGGUAAUGUCACCCUGUCUUUUUGUUCCACGACUUUGUCGGUCAGUCCUGUUGUUGGUUUUGUUGUACCAUUACUUUCUCUAAAAAAAUAAAAAAUUAAAAAUUU